AACUAUAACGGUCCUAAGGUAGCGAAAUUCCUUGUCAGGUAAGUUCUGACCCGCACGAAUGGCGUAAUGAUCUGGGAGCUGUCUCAACUGCCCGCCCGGCGAAAUUGUAGUACCGGUGAAGAUGCCGGUUACCCGCGACUAGACGGAAAGACCCCAUGGAGCUUUACUGUAGCUUAAUAUUGGAUUUCGGCAUUUCAUGUACAGGAUAGGUGGGAGACUAGGAAACAUAGGCGUCAGCUUAUGCGGAGUCGUCCUUGGGAUACCACUCUUGGAGUGCUGAAAUUCUAACCUGCAGCCCUGAAUCGGGUUGGGGGACAUUGUUAGGUGGGCAGUUUGACUGGGGCGGUCGCCUCCAAAAAGGUAACGGAGGCGCUCAAAGGUUGGCUCAGCAUGGAUGGAAACCAUGCCAUAGAGUGCAAACGCAAAAGCCAGCCUGACUGCGAGACUGACGGGUCGAGCAGAAACGAAAGUUGGAGUUAGUGAUCCGGCGGUAUGUGAAUGGAAAUGCCGUCGCUCAACGGAUAAAAGCUACCCUGGGGAUAACAGGCUGAUCUCCCCCAAGAGUCCACAUCGACGGGGAGGUUUGGCACCUCGAUGUCGGCUCAUCGCAUCCUGGGGCUGUAUUCGGUCCCAAGGGUUUGGCUGUUCGCCAAUUAAAGCGGUACGCGAGCUGGGUUCAGAACGUCGUGAGACAGUUCGGUCCCUAUCUGUCGUGGGCGCAGGAUAUUUGAGAGGAGCUGUCCCUAGUACGAGAGGACCGGGAUGGACGCACCUCUGGUGCACCAGUUGUCACGCCAGUGGCACAGCUGGGCAGCUAAGUGCGGAUCGGAUAAACGCUGAAAGCAUCUAAGCGUGAAGCCGUCCUUAAGAUAAGAUAUCCCACUUUUAAGUUAAGACCCCUUGUAGACUACGAGGUUGAUAGGUCUAAGGUGUAAGUUGUGUGAGCAAUUUAGCCAGCAGAUACUAAUCGGUCGAGGGCUUAAACCU
rnacentral:rRNA from 1 species